GUGCUCGCUUCGGCAGCACAUAUGCUAAAAUUGGAACAAGACAGAGAAGAUUAGCACAGUCCCUUAGAGAGGAUGACAUGCCAAUUCAUGAAGUGUUCCAUAUUUUU
ensembl:snRNA U6 U6 spliceosomal RNA